AGCACAGCUUCCUGAGCUCCUGGAUAAAUUACAGCUUCCUGCUUCCCCCCGAAUCUGAAGUGGAAUACUGUGAUUACCGCUAGAAGCGAGUACCUCAGAUUGAGUGGCUUCUUGGUGAGAACACAUCGACUUGUUCCUCUGUACUAUGCCGCGGUAUUGGUUCAGCACCAACAUGAAAGGAAAUGUAUUCUGCCUUGUGGAAUUGACAGUUGAAA
rnacentral:lncRNA from 1 species